UACGACCAUAUCACGUUGAAACACCUGUUCCCGUAUGAUCACUGAAAAUAAGCAAGCAAUGUUAACCCUGGUUAGUACCUAGUUGGGUAACCGCUUGGGAAUAAAAGCUGCUGUAAU